rnacentral:rRNA from 1 species
GACAGAGGUCGCAAGCGUUGUUCGGAUUUACUGGGCGUAAAGGGCGUGUAGGCGGAUGUGCAAGUCGGGGGUGAAAGGCCAGGGCUCAACCCGGGACGGUCUCCCGAAACUGCGCAUCUCGAGAAAGUCAGAGGCAGGUGGAAUUCCAGGUGUAGAGGUGACAUUCGUAGAGAUCUGGAGGAACACCGGCGGCGAAGGCGGCCUGCUGGGGCUUUUCUGACGCUGAGGCGCGAAAGCGUGGGGAGCAAACAGG